UACGGAGGGUGCAAGCGUUGUUCGGAAUUAUUGGGCGUAAAGGGCAGGUAGGUGGUCUUAUAAGUCUACUGUGAAAUCCCCAGGCUUAACCUGGGAAGUGCGGUGGAUACUGUAAGACUAGAGUGCUAUAGGGGUACGCGGAAUUCUCGGUGUAGCGGUGAAAUGCGUAGAGAUCGAGAGGAACACCAGAGGCGAAGGCGGCGUACUGGAGAGCAACUGACACUCAACUGCGAAAGCGUGGGUAGCAAACAGG
rnacentral:rRNA from 1 species